UACGUAGGCAGCGAGCGUUGUUCGGAGUUACUGGGCGUAAAGGGUGUGUAGGCGGUUGUUUAAGUUUGGUGUGAAAUCUCCCGGCUCAACUGGGAGGGUGCGCCGAAUACUGAAUGACUUGGAGUGCGGGAGAGGAAAGUGGAAUUCCUGGUGUAGCGGUGAAAUGCGUAGAUAUCGUAAGGAAGACCAGUGGCGAAGGCGGGUCUCUGGACAGUUCCUGACGCUGGAGGCACGAAGGCCAGGGGAGCAAACGGG
rnacentral:rRNA from 1 species